rnacentral:rRNA from 1 species
AGAGUUGAUCAUGGCUCAGGACGAACGCUGGCGGCGUGCCUAACACAUGCAAGUCGAACGGGGAUUUGUUUCGGCAGAAUCCUAGUGGCGAACGGGUGAGUAACGCGUAGGCAACCUGCCCUCCGGCCGGGGACAACACUCCGAAAGGGGUGCUAAUACCGGAUACGAAGUCUGUGCCGCAUGGUACGGAUUUGAAAGAUGGCCUCUAUUUAUAAGCUAUCGCCGGGGGAUGGGCCUGCGUCCGAUUAGCUGGUUGGUGGGUAACGGCCUACCAAGGCGACGAUCGGUAGCCGGUCUGAGAGGAUGAACGGCCACAUUGGGACUGAGACACGGCCCAGACUCCUACGGGAGGCAGCAGUGGGGAAUCUUCCGCAAUGGGCGCAAGCCUGACGGAGCAACGCCGCCGUGAGUGAGGAAGUUCUUCGGAACGUAAAGCUCUGUUGUUCCUGACGAACCUCCCCUCUAUCAACAACGGAGGGGACUGACGGUAGGGAACGAGGAAGCCACGGCUAACUACGUGCCAGCAGCGGC